CUUCCAGGACCAAACCACGUU
rnacentral:siRNA from 1 species